rnacentral:rRNA from 1 species
GAUGAACGCUGGCGGCGUGCCUAAUACAUGCAAGUCGAGCGAACGGACGAGACGCUUGCUUCUCUGAUGUUAGCGGCGGACGGGAGUGUAACACGUGGAUAACCUACCUAUAAGACUGGGAUAACUUCGGGAAACCGGAGCUAAUCCCGGAGAAUCUCCUGAACCGCAUGGUUCAAAAGUGAAAGACGGUCUUGCUGUCACUUAUAGAUGGAUCUGCGCUGCAUUAGCUAGUUGGUAAGGUAACGGCUUACCAAGGCAACGAUGCAUAGCCGAACUGAGAGAGUGAUCGGCCACACUGGAACUGAGACACGGUCCAGACUCCUACGGGACGCAGCAGUAGGGAAUCUUCCGCAAUGGUCGAAAGCCUGACGGAGCAACGCCGCGUGAGUGAUGAAGGUCUUCGGAUCGUAAAACUCUGUUAUUAGGGAAGAACAUAUGUGUAAGUAACUGUGCACAUCGUGACGGUACCUAAUCAGAAAGCCACGGCUAACUACGUG